rnacentral:lncRNA from 1 species
GCAAUUUGGAUUUCAAGUGGAUACUGCGAUCCCAUCGAUUAGCAUACCACCUUAUCUAAUAGUUAUCGAUGAUAUGUCAACCAAUGAGUGGAUAAGUCUUAUCUAAUACUUCUCAAGCAAAUUGUAGUAGUCUCUGAUCUCUAAUCUUGAAACCUCACGUGAUAGUUAUUGGUCUCAUUUCUUAGUGAAGUCAGACCCACUAUUUUUGUGAAAAUGAAGCCAUCAUUGAAACUCUUAUCUAACAGUUAUUAAGCCUAACCCCAUCUCCACCAUACAGCAUCCCAUGCCAAUAGAGUGGUUGCAUCUUCCUUGAUGUAACUAAACGAUUAUAUCCAGCG